rnacentral:tRNA from 1 species
GGACCUUUAGCUCAGUUGGUUAGAGUAAACGGCUCAUAACCGUCCGGUCGUAGGUUCGAGUCCUACAAGGUCCA